UUGAAUAGCCUCAUUGGUGAAUUACAAAAAAACCCCUUUAUUUUAGAGUGAAAAAUAUCUAACGCAAGGUAGCUCGUUGUCAUCACUCUACAUCAUAACGAUUUAUUCCUUAAGUAGACGAUUAGAUCAAGAGAAUAUAGUUGAAAACUCACAGGGAAUUUCAAGGGGAAUAAGUCUGUUUAAUUAAAACUAGUAUGAACAAGGGGAAUAUGACUGUUUAAUUAAAACAAAGCAUUGCGAUGGUCCAUGUGGAUGCUGACGCAAUGUGAUUUAUGCCCAUUUAUCUGCAUGUCAAAGUGAAGAAAUUAAACCAAGCGCAUGUAAACGAUGGGGCUAACUAUGACUCUCUUAAGGUAUCCAUAUGCCUUGUCAUCUAAUUAUUGAUGUGCAUGAAUGGAUGAACGAGAUUCCCACUUUACCUAGCUACUAUCUAGAGAAACCACAUUCAAGGGAAUGAGGUUGGCAAAAUUAGUAGGGAAAGAAGACCCCGUUGAGCUUGACUCUAGUCCUAACCCAUUCAUAGUUGGGGAAAAUUAGGGCAUAGUUUGGGAAAAUUAGGGCAUCAUUUGGAAAAAUUAGACCAUAACAUUUGUCUUUGGGAGUCGAAAACCAUGCAUGGUGUCGCGAGCCACCUCAAAAUCCAUAUAUAGGGAAUAUUUGGAAUGGGAGUAAGUUGUGGUGCCCAUUUUAAGAAAUGUCAUAGUAGGGAUGAUUUUUUGGGUCUAUAUGGGAAAUUUUUGGCUUGUAAGUGGGAUAAGGUGGCC
rnacentral:ncRNA from 1 species